rnacentral:precursor_RNA from 1 species
GAAGGAUAUAAUUAGUGCUGUUGUAAUGGAAGUGAUGGUGACAGAAGAAGAGAAAGCACACUCCCAACAAAGACAAAGACUCUCUUUAGCCAAUGGCGGGUUGUGCUCUCUCUCUUCUGUCAACAUGAUGCCUCAUGGCCCGUUUCCUGUACAUGUCAUCCACCAUCAAUGACAUUGCAUGCAUGGAUGCAUGCAUGACAUGCAUUCUUCUUUCAUCAAACAAUCACUGAAAUGAAAAGCCAUGAAAAAUGCUUUAGUAUGAGAUCACAUCACAUGCAUGCAUGCUUUUAUAAUGCACAUACAUAUGUGCAGCAUUAUGAUCUAUAUCUGGCUAUAAACCGAUCUAUAUAUACAUGCAUGCAUGCAUAUAUAUGCAUGCAUGUAUGUUUCCAUAUAAAGGAAUUGAUUGGAACAGAGAUAUAAACAUAAAAGCUAGCUUGCGUGUCGAUAGAAAACUUCAUCAUGAGCAGAGUUUUCAGCCUCAGGACACUAAUUAUGGCAAGACAGACAAAAAAAGAGGGAGUGUACUGUGCCUAAUGGGUCUUAGGAUCCAUCAACACCAUUGAAUUGAAAGUCCCAUCCAUAAAUUAAUUAAACCAUGUACUUUUUUAAUUUUGAAAUACAUACAUGUGGGUAUUUACCACUUCAUGCCAAGAAUAUAAACUGAAAUCAUUUUCUUGUGCAAUUAAUACAUCAGGAUCACAAUCAAUAACACAACAACCACACACGAAAACACAAAAAUUUACAUGAUUUUCCUAGUAUGAGAUACGUUUAUGAAUGACAACGAGAAAGAAAUUUACUAACAAAAAUUAAUAGUAAAUUAAAAAAAAAUACUUAAAACCCAAAAAUCAAAGCUCUAAUAUACUCAAAUUUUACUCUCUCACAUAAGUCAAGGAUUUUUUUUUUCUCUAUUUCUUUAGCUAGUAUUCACAUUGGGCUCUUCAAUUUUUUUUUUUUAAAAAAAAUUAACUCUAAAAAUCUAUUGAUUUAGCUAACCAUUUUUUAAAACAACAAAACAUUAAACUCUUUAAAUAUUUAUCAAUUUUAACUAAAUAUUAUAUUUUAUUGAUCAAACCAACUUUUAGACAGCUCUAUGCAUUCAAAAUCAACCUUAGUGG